rnacentral:rRNA from 1 species
CGGCCCACCUAGCCUACGACGGGUACGGGCCCUGAGAGGGGGAGCCCGGAGAUGGGCACUGAGACAAGGGUCUAGGCCCUAAGGGGUGCAGCAGGCGCGAAGAUUCCGCAAUGCCCGAAAGGGCGACGGAGUGAACCCGAGUGCCACCCGCUGAGGGUGGCUGUUCCCCUGUGUAAAAAGCAGGGGGUAGAAAGGGGAGGGCAAGGCUGGUGGCAGCCGCCGCGGUAAAACCAGCUCCCCGAGGGGUUCCCACGCAUACUGGGCCUAAAGCGUCCGUAGCCGGCCCUGCAAGUCUGCAGUUAAAUCCGCCUGUAGACAGGCGGGCUGCUGCAGAUACUGCAGGGCUAGGGAGCGGGAGGAGCCGGGGGUAUUCCCGGGGGAGCGGUAAAAUGCGUAGAUCCCGGGAGGACCACCAGUGGCGAAGGCGCCCGGCUUGAACGCGUCCGACGGUGAGGGACGAAAGCUGGGGGAGCAAACCGGAUUAGAUACCCGGGUAGUCCCAGCCGUAAACGAUGCCGGCUAGGUGCUGGCCAAGGUUUCGACCUUGGCCAGUGUCGAAGCGAAGGCAUUAAGCCGGCCGCCUGAGGAGUACGGCCGCAAGGCUGAAACUUGAAGGAAUUGACGGGGGGGCACCACAAGGGGUGAAUGCCUGCGGCUUAAUUGGACUCAACGCCGGGAAUCUUACCGGGGGCGACAGCAGGAUGAAGGUCAGGCUGAAGACCUUACCAGACGCGCUGAGGGGUGGUGCAUGGCCGUCGCCAGCUCGUGCCGUGAGGUGUCCUGUUAAGUCAGGCAACGAGCGAGACCCCCGCCCCUAGUUGCCAGCGGCCUCCUUCGGGAGGGACCGGGCAAACUAGGGGGACCGCCUCCGAAGAGGAGGAGGAAGGUGGGGGCUACGGCAGGUCAGUAUGCCCCUAAUCCCCCGG